UGGGUGUUAAGUUAUAAGACUAUAGUAUUUCAAAUAUUGAAGAGGGAAGAAGAACCCACACCUAG
rnacentral:tRNA from 1 species